ensembl:lncRNA
GAGGAGAGAGAGAGAGAGAGCGAGGAGUAGAGAGAGAGAGAGAGCGAGGAAGGAGUAGAGAGAGAGAAAGAGAGGAGUAGAGAGAGAGAGAGAGCGAGGAGUAGAGAGAGAGAAAGAGAGGAGUAGAGAGAGAGAAAGAGAGGAGUAGAGAGAGAGAAAGAGAGGAGUAGAGAGAGGGAGGAGUAGAGAGAGAGCGAGGAGGAGUAGAGAGAGAGAGAGAGCGAGGAGUAGAGAGAGAGAAAGAGAGGAGUAGAGAGAGAGAAAGAGAGGAGUAGAGAGAGAGAGGAGUAGAGAGAGAGAGAGGAGUAGAGAGAGAGAGAGGAGUAGAGAGAGAGAGAGAGGAGUAGAGAGAGAGAGAGAGCGAGGAGUAGAGAGAGAGAAAGAGAGGAGUAGAGAGAGGGAGGAAGAGAGAGCGAGGAGUAGAGAGAGAGAAAGAGAGGAGUAGAGAGAGGGAGGAGUAGAGAGAGGAGUAGAGAGAGGAGUAGAGAGAGAGAGAGAGGAGUAGAGAGAGGAGUAGAGAGAGAAAGAGAGAGAGAGGAGUAGAGAGAGAGAGAGGAGUAGAGAGAGGAGUAGAGAGAGGAGUAGAGAGAGAGAGAGAGAGAGGAG